UGGAUGGCCCAGCGAGCUGGAGCCGCCUGCCCCCGAGAGCCCCAUGGCUUUGCUGGCUGACCCAGCUCCAGCUGCUGACCCAGGUCCUGAGGACAUCGGCCCUCCCAUUCCGGAAGCCGAUGAAUUGCUGAAUAAGUUUGUGUGUAAGAACAACGGGGUCCUGUUCGAGAACCAGCUGCUGCAGAUCGGAGUCAAGUCAGAGUUCCGACAGAACCUGGGCCGCAUGUAUCUCUUCUAUGGCAACAAGACCUCGGUGCAGUUCCAGAAUUUCUCACCCACUGUGGUUCACCCGGGAGACCUCCAGACUCAGCUGGCUGUGCAGACCAAGCGUGUGGCGGCGCAGGUGGAUGGCGGCGCGCAGGUGCAGCAGGUGCUCAAUAUCGAGUGUCUGCGGGACUUCCUGACGCCCCCGCUGCUGUCCGUGCGCUUCCGGUACGGUGGCGCCCCCCAGGCCCUCACCCUGAAGCUCCCAGUGACCAUCAACAAGUUCUUCCAGCCCACCGAGAUGGCGGCCCAGGAUUUCUUCCAGCGCUGGAAGCAGCUGAGCCUCCCUCAACAGGAGGCGCAGAAAAUCUUCAAAGCCAACCACCCCAUGGACGCAGAAGUUACUA
rnacentral:sRNA from 1 species